GGAGAGCCUCGCCGAUCAGCGACGGCAGCUGGUUGCUAACCAGUGGUCUCGGACACCCCGGGAUCUGCAGGUGCAAAUCCUGCGCUCUCCGCCA
rnacentral:tRNA from 1 species